GAGGAUGAUGCGUGCACAUAGAUCUGUGUGCAGUGCUGUGCACAGGAGGUGGCUAUGCUCUAAUGGGCACACUAACCAGUAACUGAGCACCUAGUUUAAACAUAGAUACCAGCUCUUUAACACCUGCUAAAAUACUGUCCGCAUGAGUUUAAAGACUUACUCCAAUUUCUGAAACGAAAAGCCAUGAAGGCCUGGAGCAUUUGCUGGAGAGAUAGACAGGUGUGAGAAUUAAGACACUGAGGACAACUGAAGCCAUCUUCCUCUGAGGAACAACUGAAAGCCUGCAUGGACACCGGUCAUGAGGGGCAGUUCCCUCAUUCCAGGAGUAGGGAGUCAAGCUCUUCCAAUGAACACUAUGCACGAUAGCUGCACCCACCCCACCCAUCCAUAAUACCCACCUGCAGACCAGAGAGGGGUCGGGGAGCAAGCCUAAAGUGAGUCGGAAGCAGAAAUGAUGGUCCAGCACACCUGAGAACCAAUAAAAGGUCAGGGCGGGGUUCUCCAUGCUGAGACUGCGGCACAGUGAAAAGGAGCACAAGCCGUGUGAAGAGAGGAGCAGAGGCGGCUAACAGACACAGAAUGCAGUCCUGAGAAAAACAUAUCCCAAGGGGCAGGGGGACAACACUCUACAAAAAAAAGUAAAAAUAAAAAAUAAAAUAAAUAAAAAAUGAGAGCAAAAAUUCAGCUAAAGAUGGCAAAAGGAGCAAGAGAAGAGAGAAGGGACUCUGAUUCCGGGACAGAAACAUAAGGACCAUAGCAACACAGUUCAGGAGCAUGAACACUUAGGACAUUGCGUCAAGUGCUGGGGAUGUAAUGGGUUGGCUGGGCACUUGCUUUUCAUGCACCAAUAACCAGGUGUGGAGAUGCAUGCCUGAGAUUCCAGCCCUUACGAGGUGGAGGAGUUUGAGGCCAGCCUGGGCUAUCUGAGACUGUCUCAAAAGAAAAAGAAAAACAAACAAAAAGGGCUAUUUAAUAAUAAAGAGAUGCUAGAGAGAAAAACAGGCUAUGAAGAUGGGAGAGGAAAGCAAUUGUCUAAGAAUAUGUGCACCGCAGACAAAGAAGAAGUAACGGGUUGGCUGCAACCUGGACACUCAGAAUCUUAAGGAAAAUGUGGCCAAAUGUGCAGUCAAGGCCAAGCAUGGCCAUGCAGGCCUGUAUUUUCAGAACUGAGGAGGCUGAGGCAGGAGGAUCACAAAUUCAAAGCUAGCCUGAGCUAGCAGCAAGAUCCUUCUUUCAAAACACAAAACAAAGCAUACUUAAGACUAUAGACUCUAAGACUAAAAAGUACAGUGUUUUCCAGGAAGAAGGAAUAAUGCAGAAUCAUGCACACGAGGGCCAGUGAUAUGGCUCAGCAGGUGAAGAAGCUUGCUGCCAAGCCUCAGGACCUGGGCAAAUACCCACAACCCACAUGGUGGAAAGAGAGAAGAGACUACACAACAGUCCUCUGAAUUCUACAUUUGUACCAGGUCACACUCAAACUCUCUCUCUCUCUCUCUCUCUCUCUCUCUCUCUCUCUCUCUCUCUCUCUCUCUGUGUGUGUGUGUGUGUGUGUGUGUGUGUGUGUGCAUGCGUGUGCGCGCACACCUGAUAACCAAUCCUGUGAAAGAAUCAUGCAUACCCACUCAUUUGUGGUUAAAUCUCUGAGUUCAAAAUAAAGAUCUCUGGGACUGGA